UAACACAUGCAAGUCGAACGAUGAAGCCCAGCUUGCUGGGUGGAUUAGUGGCGAACGGGUGAGUAACACGUGAGUAACCUGCCCUUGACUCUGGGAUAAGCGUUGGAAACGACGUCUAAUACCGGAUACGAGCUUCCACCGCAUGGUGAGUUGCUGGAAAGAAUUUUGGUCAAGGAUGGACUCGCGGCCUAUCAGCUUGUUGGUGAGGUAAUGGCUCACCAAGGCGACGACGGGUAGCCGGCCUGAGAGGGUGACCGGCCACACUGGGACUGAGACACGGCCCAGACUCCUACGGGAGGCAGCAGUGGGGAAUAUUGCACAAUGGGCGAAAGCCUGAUGCAGCAACGCCGCGUGAGGGACGACGGCCUUCGGGUUGUAAACCUCUUUUAGCAGGGAAGAAGCGAAAGUGACGGUACCUGCAGAAAAAGCACCGGCUAACUACGUGCCAGCAGCCGCGGUAAUACGUAGGGUGCAAGCGUUGUCCGGAAUUAUUGGGCGUAAAGAGCUCGUAGGCGGUUUGUCGCGUCUGCUGUGAAAUCCCGAGGCUCAACCUCGGGUCUGCAGUGGGUACGGGCAGACUAGAGUGCGGUAGGGGAGAUUGGAAUUCCUGGUGUAGCGGUGGAAUGCGCAGAUAUCAGGAGGAACACCGAUGGCGAAGGCAGAUCUCUGGGCCGCUACUGACGCUGAGGAGCGAAAGGGUGGGGAGCAAACAGGCUUAGAUACCCUGGUAGUCCACCCCGUAAACGUUGGGCGCUAGAUGUGGGGACCAUUCCACGGUUUCCGUGUCGUAGCUAACGCAUUAAGCGCCCCGCCUGGGGAGUACGGCCGCAAGGCUAAAACUCAAAGGAAUUGACGGGGGCCCGCACAAGCGGCGGAGCAUGCGGAUUAAUUCGAUGCAACGCGAAGAACCUUACCAAGGCUUGACAUAUACGAGAACGGGCCAGAAAUGGUCAACUCUUUGGACACUCGUAAACAGGUGGUGCAUGGUUGUCGUCAGCUCGUGUCGUGAGAUGUUGGGUUAAGUCCCGCAACGAGCGCAACCCUCGUUCUAUGUUGCCAGCACGUAAUGGUGGGAACUCAUGGGAUACUGCCGGGGUCAACUCGGAGGAAGGUGGGGACGACGUCAAAUCAUCAUGCCCCUUAUGUCUUGGGCUUCACGCAUGCUACAAUGGCCAGUACAAAGGGCUGCAAUACCGUAAGGUGGAGCGAAUCCCAAAAAGCUGGUCCCAGUUCGGAUUGAGGUCUGCAACUCGACCUCAUGAAGUCGGAGUCGCUAGUAAUCGCAGAUCAGCAACGCUGCGGUGAAUACGUUCCCGGGCCUUGUACACACCGCCCGUCAAGUCAUGAAAGUCGGUAACACCCGAAGCCAGUGGCCUAACCGCAAGGAUGGAGCCUGUCUAAG
rnacentral:rRNA from 1 species